AGAAGUAAAAGAGCCCCUCCAUUUUAAACUUCAUUAGUCCAAGCUCAUUAACACAAAAUUAAAAAGAAGAAUCAAAGAACAAAAAAAAGAAAACAGAAGAAAGGAUUUAGACUUAGUUAUCAAUAUAUAUACUCCCUGACUUCCACUUUCGUUUCUCUCUCUACUUCGGCUUCUUCAUUAACCCCAACUCAAAUUAGAAAUAACAAAUCCCCGAAUCAGCGCACAACCAUUUAUCAAUCCCAACUCAAAUUCCUUCCUUCGCCGGCGAGACCUCCAAUUCGCGCCGCUACCGUUGUCAGCCGCGCGCCACCAUUUCCGACGGCUGUCAAUCGUCGUCUCUGAUUCAGACGGCAGCGGCCUAGCCGUGCGUCGCCGUCACCGCCAGGAGACGCUGCUGUCGCCGCCGACGGCAGUGUCCGUCGGUAAACCUCCGCCGCAAACCGUUGCCCCGAUUUACCCCGAAACAGCCCGGCCAGAUGAGUUCUUAAUUUUUGAUUUAGUGAAAUAAGAUUACGGAGGAGGAAUACCUCAUCACGGAGGAGAAAAAUUUCGGAGAAUCUUUAAUUAAAUUGAAUUAUCGACUUGGUGACCAAGUCAACAGGAAGAGGAUUUAAUUUGAUUUGUUUAAUUCACGGUCCUUUGUAUUUUAAUUAAAUUAUGUAGUACACAAUUUAUUUAUCACAGACUGGAUUUUUAUAUUAUUUACUCAAUUUAUCCGAUCCAACUCGCGGGUUGAGUCCAAUAAAUAUUCCUCACGGACAGGAAUGAUUUAAAA